rnacentral:rRNA from 1 species
ACUCCGGGGAUAACAGGCUGAUACCGCCCAAGAGUUCAUAUCGACGGCGGUGUUUGGCACCUCGAUGUCGGCUCAUCACAUCCUGGGGCUGAAGUAGGUCCCAAGGGUAUGGCUGUUCGCCAUUUAAAGUGGUACGCGAGCUGGGUUUAGAACGUCGUGAGACAGUUCGGUCCCUAUCUGCCGUGGGCGCUGGAGAAUUGAGGGGGGCUGCUCCUAGUACGAGAGGACCGGAGUGGACGCAUCACUGGUGUUCGGGUUGUCAUGCCAAUGGCACUGCCCGGUAGCUAAAUGCGGAAAGAUAAGUGCUGAAAGCAUCUAAGCACGAAACUUGCCCCGAGAUGAGUUCUCCCUGAGACUUUAAGUCUCCUGAAGGAACGUUGAAGACGACGACGUUGAUAGGUCGGGUGUGUAAGCGCAGCGAUGCGUUGAGCUAACCGAUACUAAUGAACCGUGAGGCUUAACCUUACAACGCCGAAGCUGUU